UAUAUUUGCCCACAAAGUCAGAGGCGGAUGUUGGUGGUGUGGCAGUAGAGGUUGAACCUUCCCUCCAAUAUCCCAUUAUAUGUCAUUGCUAUACAACAGGUGGCAGGAGAAGGGGCAGAUUGAGAGAAUGGUGUCAAACAUGCAAGUGCAUACGAGGCAAAGGUGUGUCACAGAAUUCAUCCUUAUGGAAAACACGGCACCUUGACAUUCAGCAACACUUGCUGAAUGUUUCUAGAGACCAAACAGUAGAUGUGAGCACAGUGAGGCAGUGGGUGGUGCGUUUUAGCAGUGGUGACACUGGGCCACCUCCACUGGUGCAGAUUUUUAUGAGUGUGGCAUGCAGGCUCUUGUUCAUUGCUAGUGAAGAUGCACAGCUAAUGGUAAUGAUCAUGUUGAAAAGUAGUGAUUUGUAGCUGAGAAUUUGCUCUAUCAAAUAGUGUUAUUGUGCUCUUUGUUGUGGUUUCCAUGGAAAUAAAUAGGAGGCAUUACUUUUGGAGCAACCUAUGUAUAUUUGCAGUGGAUUCCUACAAGCUUUACUGCUCCAGCAGGAGUUCCAGGCAUAGUACUGGAUGGAAGAGCCUGAGGUUCAUCAGCCACUCCCUUGCCGUUUGCCUUAUGCUGUCUCGUGGUGUCAUUUCUGCUCGGGGGAUUUCCCGAGGCUUUCCCAUGGGCUCAUGACAAAAGCAUCAGGUCAGGAUUGUUCUGGUCUGCCUGUUAGUUGAGAGCGUUUCCUCCUUUGAAAUAGUUUGACGUUUUGCUGAUUGUUAUCUGCUUAAUCAUUUGGAAAUGAACUUGAGAAACAGGCCCAGGACUGGACGUUGGUCAGGGAUAUUAAGGUGGAGCUGAGGCCCCAGGCAGGAUCUGGGAGCAUUCAGUGUGCAGCCAGACUGCUCCAGCUGCUUCUCCAGUGCUUGUGGUCAUCGACAAAAACAGGUCACUGGUUUCUCUCCUCUGGAAACCUCAGCCCCUGUUGGCUUUGUCAUUCCUCUGGUUGCUCCCUGACUCCAAACUCGCUUUGCCUGGGGGAGGAUGGAAAGGGCUGUGUUUUUCCAUUUAGCUUACAUCUUUCUUCAGUCUUAGAUUAAGGUGCACUUUUAUAUAGGGUUAAACCAGCUCAUCCAAAAGCUGUAGCCACUGCCAAGGAAGUAAAGGGGGAAGAAGGCAGCAGUGAGGAGCCAAGCAGCAGCCUCCUGCCCUGGCUUGGCAGCAGGUAUGCUUUAGCCAUUCCUUACACCAUGGGGUCUGUGUCCACCAUGCAGAUGCAAGUGAAUGGAUGCACAGGCUGCAAGGCAGGAAGGAAAGCAGAAGAAAGAGUGGUCCAUCAUAAACAAAGACCCUGGAUUAAAUAUCCUGGCUGGAGAAUUGGGAUACAAAGCAAUGGGAAAGAAGGCCAUACAGUUUUUCCAGGCUUCAUUUAAGAAAAGCAGGAGAGGGCUGGGGCAGGUAGAGCAGCAGCCCACCUGCACUGCAUCAGCAUAUUCCAGCAGCAGAGUGUGAGGCCAGGAUUGCUGAGUGGCCUCAGACGUUACAUUAAACUUCAUGGAAAGCAUUUCUGAGUGCUUUCCCCUCUGGACCUGUAUUUAAUGGUGCAUUUUAGCAUUAAAUUCUGGCCUGUCGUUUAAUGAAGGAAAACAGUUUUGCUAGCCAAAACCAGCAGUAUUUUCACCAAACAGCAGCUGCUGCUCUUAAGAUAGGAAAAGUCUGUUGCAUCCGCUGGUCUUGCAGGGAAUGGGACACCGCACCGGAGCCAAACUCAAACAGAGAGAAGGAAGCGUAGCUGUUGUACCUGUGCUUCAGGAGCUGGUGUCAGUGGCUGUUCUGAAAGAGCCACUCACAGGGGAGGAACGACCCCGUGAGCAGAGAUGGCAGUUUGGAUAGAGGUGAGCAAGAGGCUUAUUUCCCUUUUGGCUUUCCCAGUUCUAUACUGUUUUCUUUGGUUUUAGCUCACAUUCCCUCUCUCCCUAUCACUUGUCCCUACACCUUCAAAAGAUCUCUUUAUUCUUCUAAUCUGGUCUUUGUGCAGUUGUUUCCCCUCUCCUACCUUCUCAGAUCCCCCACCGCUCUCUUCUGGAUUAAGACUUCAACUCUCCUCAGCUGUGCCACUGGGAGCACAACUUGACACCACCGCAAAGGCCAGGCAGCACAUUUGAAUGAGAAAUGGGAAUCGUUGUAGAGAUGAGGGCAAGCCUGAGAGUGCCUGUAGAAGUAGGCAACAGGCACAAGGAAUUGAUCCCAGGGGCAGUUAAUGAACAAGCGAGCACAGAAGGCAUACUCCUGUUGUAUGGCAAAGCAUGUGGAUUUGUUGUUUUUGUCUAAUGGUAAUGUGGCCACCCCCUCUGUUGUACAGUAGUUUUUCUCUUUUCAGAGCAGUAGGCAGGAGAAGCAGCUGUAUUUUUGUAUUUGUUUUUAGCAGCUCUGGUGAAUCUGGGGGGGGGUCAGGGGCUCGGGCUGCAGAGCAGAGGGGGCUGUGGCUGCCUGGCUGCAGUGCGGUGAGCACAGCCCACGCACCUUGGGGGGAACGGUGGAGAGCAGCCCCCCAUCCCUGCCCCCAGCUGUUAUUUAAU
ensembl:lncRNA